AAAUUGAAGAGUUUGAUCAUGGCUCAGAUUGAACGCUGGCGGCAGGCCUAACACAUGCAAGUCGAACGGUAACAGGAAGCAGCUUGCUGCUUCGAUGACGAGUGGCGGACGGGUGAGUAAUGUCUGGGAAACUGCCUGAUGGAGGGGGAUAACUACUGGAAACGGUGGCUAAUACCGCAUAACGUCGCAAGACCAAAGAGGGGGACCUUCGGGCCUCUUGCCAUCAGAUGUGCCCAGAUGGGAUUAGCU
rnacentral:rRNA from 1 species